rnacentral:rRNA from 1 species
GUGCCAGCAGCCGCGGUAAUACGGAGGAUGCAAGCGUUAUCCGGAAUGAUUGGGCGUAAAGCGUCCGCAGGUGGCAAUGUAAGUCUGCUGUCAAAGCGUCUGGCUCAACCAGAUAAAGGCAGUGGAAACUACAUAGCUAGAGUAAGGUAGGGGUAGAGGGAAUUCCUGGUGUAGCGGUGAAAUGCGUAGAGAUCAGGAAGAACACCGGUGGCGAAAGCGCUCUGCUGGACCUUAACUGACACUGAGGGACGAAAGCUAGGGGAGCGAAUGGGAUUAGAUACCCCCGUAGUCC